rnacentral:rRNA from 1 species
AGCGAGGGAUAUCUACUCGAAAGAUUAGCUCUUACCGCAUACAACCUGAGGGUGAAAGUGCGGGACCGCAAGGCCUCUUGCUAUAGGAGCGGCCGAUGUCUGAUUAUCUAGUUGGGGGGGUAAAGGCCCACCACGGCGACGAUCUGUAGCUGGGCUGAGAGGACGAUCACCCACACUGUGACUGAGACACGGCCCCCACUCCUACGGGAGGCGGCACUGGGGAAUUUUGGACAAUGGGCGAAAGCCUGAUCCACCAAUGCCGCGUGUGUGAAGAAGGCCUUCUGGUUGUAAAUCACUUUUGUCCGGAAAGAAAUGGCUCUGGUUAAUACCUGGGGUCAAAGACACUACCGGAAGAAUAAGGACCGGCUAACUCUCUGC